AGAGAUACAGCAAGAAAGAGAAGAUGGGGCUUAAAAUUCAUGGAACUCUGACCGUUGAUGGCAUGGUGGUGUGAUAAGUGUGGGCCCCAUAGGCUUGGAUGUUUAGUUACUAGAGAGUGAAACUCUUUGAUAGGAUUAAGUGUGGCCUUGUUGGAUGAAGUGUGUCACUUAGGCAAUGAAGGGACAGUGAUUAAGAGGGAUGAAGUCAGAACAGCUGUGAUCACCCUCAAGUGACACAAGUGCUCAUUGGGUCCCCAAGCCAACCUUGGGUGGAGUCACCUCCUGUAGAUCAAGCCCGAAGACCUCGGUUCGAUUCCCAGAUCCCGUGAUGAAAGGAGAGUACCAGCCCCUCAAAAUUGUUCUCUGGCUUUCACAUCCAUCCUGCAGUAGGUAUGCCCCCCAUACACUAAUAAUAAAUAUCUUUUAAAAUGUAAAAAAUAAAUUUAAAAAUGUAAAAAAG
rnacentral:lncRNA from 1 species